rnacentral:rRNA from 1 species
UACGUAGGGCGCAAGCGUUAUCCGGAAUUAUUGGGCGUAAAGAGCUCGUAGGCGGUUUGUCGCGUCUGCCGGGAAAGUCCGGGGCUCAACUCCGGAUCUGCGGUGGGUACGGGCAGACUAGAGUGAUGUAGGGGAGACUGGAAUUCCUGGUGUAGCGGUGAAAUGCGCAGAUAUCAGGAGGAACACCGAUGGCGAAGGCCGGUCUCUGGGCAUUAACUGACGCUGAGGAGCGAAAGCAUGGGGAGCGAACAGG